rnacentral:lncRNA from 1 species
CUUUGAAGCUUAAAGAACUAUCUUUCAGUUAUCUGUAGCAUUAGUUCUUUUGGCUGUCUGUGGUGUUAGAGAAAAUGAAUUUUACUAAAUUUGAAUAUGUACAUUUUAUUUGAUUCUUAAUAAAAUAAAGAGUAUAGUUGAUAGUAAGGUUCAUGGUCAGUGUUAAAGGUAAACGCCAGGAGUUUAGACCUUCAUAAAUAUGUUUGAUUCUGGGCCUUUUUCUCACUUAGUUCAAAGCUUAUUUAUAAAGUUCGGUGUCUGCUUGCUUCUUUUUAUAUACAUUAAUCGCUCUGUUGUGCAGAGUGUUAUUAAAAUCAAGUCCUGCUCCUAAUUGUCUUAAUAUCCUUUUUGCUUACGCAUCUUUCCAUUCAUUUUUAGUGGUAACACACAAAGCACCACCUGCAGGGCAGUGUGUUCUUAAAAGCGUGCUCCCUCUUGCGGCCAACCUGGGUCAUACUGCAUUCAAGUUGGACAGUUUUGAAUCUGCUGCAAAUAUCCUGAAAGGUUUAACCGAUGCCCAACUAGCAGAGAAGUCAGAGCCCUGGGGAACCUUAGGAAUCAGAGAAUUUAGCCUCUUCAUUUCACAGGUGAGGAAAUGAUGUCCUGGAGGGAUACCUAGAGCCAUACAGCAAAGUUGUCACUGGGGUCAAGGCUGGACCUUGGUCUCUUAACUUGUGUUUGGUACUUUGCAUGAUUGAGAUGGAAUUACCUCAGAAUUAAAUGGCAAACACAUCCCAUGAUGUACUGCUGUAAUGGGUUUUUAAACUACUGUUUUCUUUACUCAUAAAUGAACUGUAUUUCAAGUUAGGGGAUUAUGGUUGAAUUAUCAAAAUAUUCACUACAGAUUUAACUUGCAGACUCUUCAUAUGUACAUUGAUUCUGAUCAAUUUACAAUCUCUUGCUCCAUAGUCAGGGGAUUGGCUACUUGGAUGCAUCUAUCUGGUGGCAUAUCAUGGCCUUGGAUUUUGCAAGUAUUUUUGAUGGCAUGAGUAAAUAAUUAAGACGUAUCAAGUGAAAGUCUGAAAUAUAUAUAUAUAUACAGUAUAAUAUUAACAUUGUGUUAAAAAAAAACAAGAAUAUUCAUGCCUAGAGAGUAAAUAAUAGUGGCUCU